UGAUGAAGUGUUGCAUCACUUCAAUAGUAUAUUUUCUUGACCAAAUAUAGUUGUCAUGAAAAUUAGCAGAUUCAGAGAAAAAAUAUAGCUUAGACAACUGCUUGCUAAUAUCAGUUCUAAAAGCAUGGUAAAAGUUUAUUUCCCAUAGGUCAUUCAAUGACAUGUGCUUCUAAGUUAAGUGCCAGUAUCUGUAACCAAUAUCUGUUCUAGGAGCUCUCAUUUAAACAAGUGAAAAUACAUCAAAAGAACUGAAACAAAUCAGCAGUCACCAUUCAGGAUUUAUUUGUAUUAAUCUACUUAACUCAAAACACUUUUUUUCUUGAUCUCUACUGUUUACUGCACCUAUAUCUUAAAAAACCAUAAGCCAUAUACAACAAAUACAAUAGAUAGGAAUGUGUAUAGCUGGCCAAUAUUAAAACAUCAGGAUUGCUUCACAUCUGAUACCUCUUAUUGCAGCAAACCCUGCAUCUUCAGUCACUUGCCAGUCAUUUCUGAUUGAUUAUUUUUAAAGUAUGUAUCUGAUUUUUUAAUCGUUUGUAUAUUUUUAACAAUAGAUUCUUAGAAAUAUAAACUUGUCUGUGUCUAAAAAUAUGGGUUCCUGGGUCUACAGAGUUAGAAUAUCCAAGCAUGGAUGAGAAUUUGCAUUAACAAACUAACCAAGUCAUUCUGUUCUUAUCUUUCACAGAGGUCACUGUAGAACAACUGUUGUUUUCAUUUAGCCCCUCUGCCUAAAAUGUUAGGAAAGCAAAACACUGGUGAACAGUGUUUGAGAAAAAUGUAGACUAAAUUUAAAUACCUGUAAGCAGAGUAUACCAACCUCUCAUCUCAAUUCCCACACCAACUUAGCAACUGCAGAGGUUACUUACAUGCCUGGCUGCAGAGGCACUGGAAUUUGCUACUGUUGACCUCAGUUAUUAGGGGAAAAUUAUCAUUACCUGUUGUAGAAAGAUGCUAAGCAUAUAAGGCAGACAAGAUUCUUUCACUAUGAUGGCAGAAAAUCAAGACUUGGAGGAGACUGUUAUAUAAAGUUUCUCUAACAUUCAUUACAUUUAUCUAAGGACUCUAUCAGAUACUUUCAGUGUGGUCUCUCCUAAGUUCAUUGAAAUUCAAAAUAAUUAAUUGAAGUAAAGCCCUGCAUUUGUGCAUGCGUUCUGAGCAAUUAAGUGGAGUGAAACACAUGUAUUGCUAAUCUUGCAUGCUGUGAUUAAGAUAGAAAUGAAGACGUCCAUCAAACGAGAUUACUUCUUCAUCAACAAGGCUCAGAAAUGUUUCUACAGCUGUUUAGAUCGUUUUAAUUGUAUCAGAGCCUCUCACAUCAUGGUUUAAGUGAGGCACUAUUUCCCCCCAUUAAAAAAGAGAAUAUGAAGAUAUGAGAGUAUACUAAUCCGCAUGUGAAAGAAAUCACAAUGCAUUUAAAGGUUUCUUUACCAAUAAAAUUAGAUUAGCUAAAGAAACAAAAGGCAUUUGUGUGUUUAUGAUCUAUUUUCAUACUUAACUGCACAAACACGGAGCUGAGAGGACCAGCUGGGUCCCACUUUUCAUUAUCAAAUAUUCCUGGAUUAUUCCCUCUGGCCACUCUAACUCCUUUAUUUGAAAAAAGAACAGGGAAUGGUACUACCUUCCCUAUGUAAAAGUAAAUCUAAUUGAUGACUCACACACAAAAAAACCAUGAUACUUGUUACCAUUUCCUCAAUUUCCAUUCCUCCUUCCAAUAGAAACAUAGUUUUUUUAAAGCAACUAAUUAUUCCAAAAAGAAAAGAACUCACUUAUUCUACCAAUUUUUUGGUUAGUUACUCAGAAUUAUUCCUAGUAAUAUAGACUUGGAUUUUGAGUCCCUCAAUGGGACUGAAGAAUAAGACCAAAUGUUGUCUCAGAAUAAUGAAUGAUUUGACUCAAAGUGAUUUCUUAAAAGCCAAAGUUACCAUUUCAGAAAAUUCUUUCUCUUGUGGUUCAGCGAGCUAUGAAGGAGGUGAACUGAACAGAAUGAGAAUAAAUCAAGAUUGGACUUUUCAUAGGAUUUCAAUUCAUUUUGAUAGAUCUUCAAGUUGAACAUAAAAGAAACUCUCAGACUUUAGGAACCUAUAGGUCAGAGUGGUUCAACUGAAAAAGCAAAGAGAAACAUGCAGACCCG
rnacentral:lncRNA from 1 species